CCCCAGUGACUUUCCCUUCUCCCCUUUGCGUUUCGUAACCCUCCCCUUUUUGCAGCCUCUCCUGUCUGCCUCCUCCGUGUCCUAGGGAAGCCCCCUGCUCCCCUCUGCCCUCCUCGCGCUCCUGGCUGAGCCGCGGGGACCAGAGUUAUCCAGAUGUGGAGGCACCGAGGGGCACGUCUCCCUUCGUCCUCCCGUUUGCCUUUUGGACCGCUGUUUUUAGGGGACUGCCCCAAGGACCCCUAGCUCUGCUCCCCAUAUGGGAACAGCUCGCGUCGAGCCCAUCCAAGCAGAGGUCACAGCCAGGUGGACCUAUGUUAAAUUGCCAUUGAGCUGCCCCUUGGCUCGGUGCCCCGAGGCCCACCCACCGUGCUCUUACCAAUUUUGAAUCAUUUGGCGUCAUUGGCAGACUUGGCCACCUCCUUUUCCAGAUCAUUUAUGAACACGUUACACGGCACCGGCCCCAACAGACCUGGGGGACCCACUGCUUGCUUCUUUUCAUCCCCAAAACUAACCAUUUGUAUUUGCUCUGUUUUCUAUCUUUAAGCCACAAGUGGAGGUUCCCUGCAAUCCCGGUCUACCUAACCUCACGAAGAGCAGCUGAUGGGGGCACAGGGCAGGAGCGAUGCAGAAGUGCUGCUUCUGCACCGUGGAGCCGUGAGGAUACGCAGCUGGACGGCAGACCUAGAAAGGGGCUACCGAAAAGAUAAACCUGCUACAGAGCCUGGCUCCAGACGUUCAUCUGCGCCGACGAGCCUGCAGGUCUCCGUGACUGCACCUGACUUCGAAGCCGGCACUCGGAAGCAAAAAGGGACUUUGAAUAUUUGAGCUGCGGGGUCUGGCUGCAAUCCUGAAAUGCCCCUUGCAGAGAGGAACCUGCCACCUCUGUUCUGGCGCCUUGCGUAGCUCAGUUUGUACCUCGGGAGGGUACUGGGCUGCUUAGAAAUGCACCAGAGCCACUGCUGCUCUGCCUCUGUGCGCCAACCUCGUACCCAGCCUAGGCCAGGAGGAGAGACUUGCUCUUCGUUUCCCUCUGCAGCCAAGCCAGCGGACAGGUAAGAAAUAGCUCGAUAGAGAAAGCAUGGUACUGGCCAGGCCCUGGGGCUGCAGCUGCUCCCUGUCUUACAGGACACUGUACAUUGCUCCAAGCUAAAGCAAAGUAUUUGCUCCUGCUAUAAUAUCAGCACUUUGUCAAGUGGAAACAAAGGACAAGUAUUUGCCUCUGUAUCCAGCUCCUGGUUACAGCCUGACAGUGUUGCUCCGGCAGGCAAAUCAAAGGGGAGGGCUACUGCAAUGCUGCACCUGCCUCUGCCCAGGUGUGGGCCCUUCCCGCACUACACGCCAUCCUCGGGCUGGGCAGGCGUGUCCCUGCCGUGUGCAGAGUCCCUUGUCCAUUAGAUUUGCAUGCAGCAUGCUCCUGCCACUGGGGUGCUGUGCACCAGCAGGAUGGGAGAUACAUCUGGGACUACAAGAAAACAGCUCAAACUGCAGCAAAUUCAGCUGUGCAUGUGUCCACUAAUUCCAGCACUGGGCUGGACACCUUUGCACCCCAACGGGAGGGCAUCCUGCAUCUUAUAAACAGGAACAGGGGGAACCACAGCAAGAGGUACAAGCCAAGCACAAGAGCCCGCAUGCAGCAGUCAGCUGAGCAGCAGCUGCCUUUGCAGCACUGG